CACAUCCUGGCAACGGUACUACCCUGGGUUCCGGGCAGGGGUGGAACUGGAUUCUGCCUGGAUGGGGAUCGGAUGGGGGUGGAGGUUUGAUUUGGGAAGCAGAGCACAGCAGCCCAAAUUUGUUGUAAUGGCGGCGGCUACAGGUACCCUUGUGACUAUGAAGAUUGACAAAAAGUUGACGGCAACGAUGAAUUCUCUUCCAGAACUUACAUCCCAGAAGGCCCUCCCCUACUUCGGGUCUCCCUAGAGAGUGGAGAGACCUGCUGCCCUUGAAGAAGCAAACAGCCAUGUUGUGAGCUGCCUAAGCCUCUAGGUCUUGAGGGAAGCUUACAGUUAAGAGCCAGCAAAA
rnacentral:lncRNA from 1 species